CGGGGUGCACCAGGCGCGAAAACUUUACAAUGCGGGAAACCGUGAUAAGGGGACACCGAGUGCCAGCAUCAUAUGCUGGCUGUCCAGGUGUGUAAAAUACACCUGUCAGCAAGGGCCGGGCAAGACCGGUGCCAGCCGCCGCGGUAACACCGGCGGCCCGAGUGGUGAUCGUGAUUAUUGGGUCUAAAGGGUCCGUAGCCGGUUUGGUCAGUCCUCCGGGAAAUCUGACGGCUCAACCGUUAGGCUUUCGGGGGAUACUGCCAGGCUUGGGACCGGGAGAGGUAAGAGGUACUACAGGGGUAGGAGUGAAAUCUUGUAAUCCCUGUGAGACCACCUGUGGCGAAGGCGUCUUACCAGAACGGGUUCGACGGUGAGGGACGAAAGCUGGGGGCACGAACCGGAUUAGAUACCCGGGUAGUCCCAGCCGUAAACGAUGCUCGCUAGGUGUCAGGCAUGGCGCGACCGUGUCUGGUGCCGCAGGGAAGCCGUGAAGCGAGCCACCUGGGAAGUACGGCCGCAAGGCUGAAACUUAAAGGAAUUGGCGGGGGAGCACAAGGGCGAUUCGCG
rnacentral:rRNA from 1 species